rnacentral:rRNA from 1 species
UAGGGAAUAUUGGACAAUGGGCGAAAGCCUGAUCCAGCAAUGCCGCGUGAGUGAUGAAGGCCUUAGGGUUGUAAAGCUCUUUUACCCGAGAUGAUAAUGACAGUAUCGGGAGAAUAAGCUCCGGCUAACUCCGUGCCAGCAGCCGCGGUAAUACGGAGGGAGCUAGCGUUGUUCGGAAUUACUGGGCGUAAAGCGCACGUAGGCGGCGAUCUAAGUCAGAGGUGAAAGCCUGGAGCUCAACUCCAGAACUGCCUUUGAGACUGGAUUGCUAGAAUCCGGGAGAGGUGAGUGGAAUUCCGAGUGUAGAGGUGAAAUUCGUAGAUAUUCGGAAGAACACCAGUGGCGAAGGCGGCUCACUGGACCGGCAUUGACGCUGAGGUGCGAAAGCGUGGGGAGCAAACAGG